rnacentral:rRNA from 1 species
GACGAACGCUGGCUGCGUGCUUAACACAUGCAAGUCGAACGCUGAAGCCUGGUGCUUGCACCGGGUGGAUGAGUGGCGAACGGGUGAGUAACACGUGAGUAACCUGCCCCUGACUUCGGGAUAAGCCCGGGAAACUGGGUCUAAUACCGGAUACGACUGCCGGACGCAUGUCUGGUGGUGGAAAGUUUUUUCGGUUGGGGAUGGGCUCGCGGCCUAUCAGUUUGUUGGUGAGGUAAUGGCUCACCAAGACGACGACGGGUAGCCGGCCUGAGAGGGCGACCGGCCACACUGGGACUGAGACACGGCCCAGACUCCUACGGGAGGCAGCAGUGGGGAAUAUUGCACAAUGGGGGAAACCCUGAUGCAGCGACGCAGCGUGCGGGAUGACGGCCUUCGGGUUGUAAACCGCUUUCAGCAGGGAAGAAGCGCAAGUGACGGUACCUGCAGAAGAAGUACCGGCUAACUACGUGCCAGCAGCCGCGGUAAUACGUAGGGUACGAGCGUUGUCCGGAAUUAUUGGGCGUAAAGAGCUCGUAGGUGGUUGGUCACGUCUGCUGUGGAAACGCAACGCUUAACGUUGCGCGUGCAGUGGGUACGGGCUGACUAGAGUGCAGUAGGGGAGUCUGGAAUUCCUGGUGUAGCGGUGAAAUGCGCAGAUAUCAGGAGGAACACCGGUGGCGAAGGCGGGACUCUGGGCUGUAACUGACACUGAGGAGCGAAAGCAUGGGGAGCGAACAGGAUUAGAUACCCUGGUAGUCCAUGCCGUAAACGUUGGGCACUAGGUGUGGGGGGCAUUCCACGUUCUCCGCGCCGUAGCUAACGCAUUAAGUGCCCCGCCUGGGGAGUACGGUCGCAAGGCUAAAACUCAAAGGAAUUGACGGGGGCCCGCACAAGCGGCGGAGCAUGCGGAUUAAUUCGAUGCAACGCGAAGAACCUUACCAAGGCUUGACAUACACCGGACCGUCCUGGAAACAGGUCCUCUUCUUUGAAGCUGGUGUACAGGUGGUGCAUGGUUGUCGUCAGCUCGUGUCGUGAGAUGUUGGGUUAAGUCCCGCAACGAGCGCAACCCUCGUUCUAUGUUGCCAGCAUGUGAUGGUGGGAACUCAUAGGAGACUGCCGGGGUCAACUCGGAGGAAGGUGGGGAUGACGUCAAAUCAUCAUGCCCUUUAUGUCUUGGGCUUCACGCAUGCUACAAUGGCUGGUACAGAGAGAGGCGAACCCGUGAGGGCAAGCGAAUCCCUUAAAGCCAGUCUCAGUUCGGAUCGUAGUCUGCAAUUCGACUACGUGAAGUCGGAGUCGCUAGUAAUCGCAGAUCAGCAACGCUGCGGUGAAUACGUUCCCGGGCCU